CAAAAAAGGGUCAAGCAAUCCCAAAACACCUACCGGUCCUCUCCUUUCUUUCCCAACCAAUUUUCCACCGUUAAACACCAAAUCAGAAAUGCUGGAUCAGGCUCUCAUGAUUCUUCAUCAACAUCAACGAUCAUGAUGGCAAAGAGCAGUUAAUCCACCAUACUCCCACCCUCACGUUGUCAUUUCGUUUUGUCACGAACAUAAUUGAAGCGGCGCACCUUGGACGCAGACGACCACUCUUUUCGCGUUGUGCUCUACUCUUCGUCUUCCCUUUCCACAACACCAAGUGAAAGACCUCGGAAAACUGCCCCAUAAAGAGCAUUAGAUGGGAACUGGAGAUGAAGUAGUGGAAAUCGAGAGCUUAGAGAGAAGUUUGUUGUCGGAGUCUAUUACCGGAGAAGAAGGUACGGAGGCAGAGGAUGAGUCGGUUCUUUACACGGCGUCGUUUCAGGAGAUGGAAGAGAAUUUCGUCAAAUAUCAGACGGCUCAAUGGGUUUUGUUUUCAUUGCUUUUGAUACUAGCUUGGGGUAUUGGCUUGUUCAUGCUCCUAUACAUUCCCGUUCGAAGAUAUAUUCUCCGUAAAGAUAUUCGAUCCCGAAAGCUCUAUCUCACUCCAAACUCCAUCGUUUACAAAGUAACAAGGCCAGUUCCAUUUCCAUGUUUUGGGGUUUUAAAGAAGGAGAAGCAUGUUCUACUGCCUUCAGUUGCGGAUGUUGUAAUUGAACAAGGAUAUCUGCAGUCCCUUUUUGGUGUAUACUCUCUUAGAAUUGAGAAUGUUGGUGUAAGAAGGCCGCCGAAUGAUGAUGUGCAAAUUCAAGGCAUUGCAAAUCCAAGUGCUUUUAGGAAGGCUGUUUUGACACGCCUUUCAAAUAUGAGGACCCAAGUUUUCUCUCGACAGGUGUCUGCAAUUGAAGAUACUCCAAAUUUUAGGAUUCAUUCACCAGCUUCUUGGCUUUCUCCACCAAGGUCUAAGCUUGAUGCUAUCCCUCAUUCAGGGGAUCUUGCAUUAUUACAAAAACUAGAGGAGGUUGGGAGCUCUGUGAAGGUAAAGCAAGCAUUAUAUGUUUUUUUUGUCUUUAACAGUAUUUAUGCAUCUGCUCUUGGACUUUGAUUUGAUUUUCACUGCAGAGAGUUCAAUCUUUGAUUGAGGAACAACAUGGUCAAACAUCAGAAACAGCUGAUUGAGUGCGGGCAAACUAAGCAUCAUUCAAGGCUUCUUAGUGCAGCAGUCAGGAGUCAAGAAGGCAUUUGAAUCUUUUUUCUCACAAGAUGCCAUUCGAAAGUACUACUUAUCCUACAAAUAUUUCUGGAUCAAGUUUUGAGUGAGAUAUAUUUACACUUCUUUGUGAUCUUUCCUGAGGCUACAACCCUCGUGCUGCUAUAUUGUUGUCCAUCAUUCAAUUUGUAAUUUCUCAUGCACAAUUAGGAAAAGAAAAAUAAAUCUUCUCCAUUUAUGCGUGCUGGUUUCACAACUGUCUACUUCAUUCCUUUGUAAAUUCAUUUGCUCUCACUCUAAUUCAUGGAGUUUGUAUUAUACUGUUAUAUUAAUCAUCAUGUUUAUUGUUUAGUAA